GAACGCACAUUGCACUCUAUUUUUAUCGAGUAUGCCUGUUUGAGAAUCUAUAGUAUUCAUUUUAUGUUUUCUAUAACUUUUUUUGUUAUAGAGAAUUUAUAAAGAUAUGAAGUUUCCUAUAAUUAUUAUUAGGUACUUUGAAAACUAUAGCUUUUUAUAUUAUAGAAAUGUUUGAGUUUUUAUAUAUAACUAGUAGAAAAGUAUUCGAAUGAAACCUAGUUUCUCCUUAUGCUGAUUUAUACUUGUUGUUGUAUAGAAAUUAGUUUUUAUAAUAGAUAAGAGUUCAUAAACCAUAUAAAGUAUUUUAUCCUAGAUAAUUUUACUUUGAACCAUGGUCUCAAAUCAGGUAGGAAGACCCGCUGAACUUAAG
rnacentral:misc_RNA from 1 species